rnacentral:rRNA from 1 species
CCUGUUUAUCAAAAACAUGUCUUUUUGGUAAUAAUUUAAAGUNUAAUCUGCCCACUGAUUUAAAUUAAAGGGCUGCAGUAUAUUGACUGUACAAAGGUAGCAUAAUCAUUAGUUUUUUAAUUGAAAACUUGUAUGAAGGAUUUGAUGAAAUAUAAACUGUCUCUUAUUUAAAAUUAAAAAUUUAUUUUUUAGUUAAAAAGCUAAAAUAAUUUUAAAAGACGAGAAGACCCUAUAGAGUUUUAUAUUAAAUUAUUUUAUAAUUAUUUAUAUAAUUAAAAAUUAAAAAUGAAUUUAAUAUUUUAUUGGGGUGAUAGAAAAAUUAAAAAAACUUUUUUUAAAUUAUUAACAUAGAUAUAUGAAUAAAUGAUCCAUAAUUAAUGAUUAUAAGAAAAAAUUACCUUAGGGAUAACAGCGUAAUAUUUUUUUUUAGUUCAUAUAAAAAAAAAAGUUUGCGACCUCGAUGUUGGAUUAAGAUAAAAUUUAAAUGCAAAAGUUUAAAAGUUUUGAUCUGUUCGAUCAUUAAAAUCUUACAUGAUCUGA